rnacentral:lncRNA from 13 species
GGCGGUUUGUCUGUCAUGAGGCUACUUCAUUACUCAUUACACAUAAUAGACUGGAGGAAAUAAAGGUGUCUUUUCAAUGGGAUCCAAGUCAUGUGAAUUCUAGCUCUAUAGUCUCACUCUAAAGAAUGUUUUAAAAUAUCCCCAUAUUAAAAAAAAAAUGUUUUACAAGAAAAGAAAGAAAUCUAAUUAAACUAUUCAUCAGUGGCCUUGAUGGGCAUGCCCAACGCAAAUUCACUCACACUGCAUACUGACAGGACACGAGAAGCAAAUCAAAUAAUUUAAAUAUCUAAUGGACAAUUAAAAAUAGUUGUUUCUCUCGAAAUUUAAUUUCCGUCGGUAUUCAAAUAUAUCUGACCGCUUUUCGUGUCUUCCUUCUUGGUUCCUUCCCUGCCGAAGGAUGAAUGAAAACAAAUCACUGGCGUGAAGAUAGCUGGGAGUUGGGGAGCUCGACGAGGGAGCCGGACUACCAACUGUAUACACCAUCUUUUUCAUCAGUCCAAUCGCAUCAACAUCUGCAGCAGCAUCGACAUGAAACUCAGCACCAGGAACUAGUGUAAGUCCCAUUUUCUAAAUAUUUCAAUGACUCCAUGAUGAGAAAAUAAAUGUACUGGAGCCAGGCAUUAACAUGGUCCGUGUCUUGUUGUCAUAGUUGGUGUGUUUAUAAGUAGGUUAUAACUUCUACUGUGGUUUUCUAUGUAUUAUGGAGGCUUAGUUGAUUGUUUAUGCAAAGCUUGAAGUCUAAAUUGAAGAAAAGCAAGAGUUAUUAGUAAGGAGGGGAUGGUGUGGGUGACUGACUGUCUGUUGUUGUGGGUAUUGUGUGUGAAGAUUAUUAUGCAUGAUCUAUUGACACAAGGGGGAUGGGUGGAUAUAGUACCUUGUUUGAGUGUGUAUUGAUGGGGACAAAGUAGUAAAAUGUUUACUAAUCACUUGACUAGUGUGUACACUAGUGUGUACACUUGACUAGUGUUGUUACGGUGCGUGAAUGAGGACCCAAAAGCGAAUCAACUUAAACAGAGCUUCUUUAAUUACCAAACAUAGGUAGGCUCAGAUGGACCGGCAGAUUCCGACAGGACAGGACAAGGUUACAGCAAACAUGACGACAGUCUGGUUCAGGCAUGAAUGACACAAACAAACAAGAAUCCGACAAGGACAGGAGCAGAAACAGAGAGAGAUAUAGGGACCUAAUCAGAGGGAAAAAAGGGAACAGGUGGGGAACGGGGUGAAUGGGUAGUUAGAGGAGACAAGGGACAGCUGGGGGAAAGCGGGGGAGAAAAGGUAACCUAACACGACCAGCAGAGGGAGACAGGGUGAAGGGAAAGGACAGAGACAAGACAACAUGACAGUACAUGACAGUACCCCCCCACUCACCGAGCGCCUCCUGGCGCACUCGAGGAGG